GCGGGAGGAAUGGAUGGUGGAUAUUGCUACUUUAUCCAAGCAGCGCAGUCUAUACUGUAAGAAAGACCAGAGACAUCUUUUUUCAAAACAAGGGGGUUCCUCUUACAGAUGGGUUGUUAUUAAACUUGCAUAGCGUUCUCUCUCCCUCUAAUCUCUUUCUUCAGAUGUAUUUCACCUGCAUAUUUCUGGUACUCCCAGGUAAAGAGAUUUAAAUUGUAACGCCAUAGAAAUUUAGUUUUGAUUUUUUUUUUCAAUUUUGGACUCAAAACCUAAAAAGGUGAUCCCGAUUCAAAAAUUAAAAGAAAAGAUUUUAGGGACGUCAUCAUUUUAGACUUGUUUUUAAAAACGUCUUUGAAGGUCCUUCGCAGUUACUGACUCUUCUGUUCUCCGCGCAGUUACAAAGCAACCGGGAACUGUUCCCUUUCCUUCUUAGAAGCUUUGAUGAUACUUCCUUCUCCUUGCUCUUUUUCCGCUUUUGAUCAAAAAGUUAUUUUUGCUCAAAAUUUAACCUUCGUGUUUCAAAAGGAAAGCAUGGAAAGAUAUUGAAGCUUUGAAAAGCUUGCCUGACUGCUGAGUAUGACCAGUCUUUUGUGAACUGACUAAGCUUCCUCAGUAUUGGUUUUGCAACAUUGCAACGAUAAAUCCACUGCCAGAUGAGAGGAGAAUUUUAUAAACGCUUGGCUUGACUUAAUAGCAGCUUAAAUAAGGAGAAAACGUUUGAAUGCUGAAAGAAAAUACGAUUAGAAGAAAAGGGCAUUUAUUGCAUUGGUAGAGUGGCUGUGAACAACUAGAAGUAUGGAAUACUGAGAAGUGCUUAAUUGGAGGAGAUCCCGCAAAAAAUCUUCCAAACGGAUUUUUGCUUAAAGAAAUGAACAAGAAAUUGCAAGCAAAACUGCACAAGAUUAAAGGCAAUUCAAGGCAGCUAUUUGGCUCAAAAAACGAGCCAAAUCGUCUGGUCGUUUUUAUUCAUCGAGAAGGUGGAUGUCUGAUUAUCCACUAUGGACAGCCUGUGAUUUUUUACUAAGAAUCCGUCUCGAUUUGAAUGCGAGGCACUACAGAGUUUGAGGCAAAGCGAAAAAACGAAACACUGGGAUUAAUAGCUAGAGCGUCCAAAAAGAAUGGAGAAAACAAACCAUGCACAUUAAUUCAAGGAGUGAUAGAAGAAGACCAAAGUUAGUUACAAGGAAAGACCGUCCUCUUUUCCAAUGAAAACAACUGCACUAAAGUGAGGAAGAUGAAGUUGUCAUAGAUGAAAGACUGAAAAGCAAUCACGAAGAAGCAGAUACAAAGCUGAUUGCUUUAGUGAAAGCAGCAAACCGAACGAGUGAGGAUUCUGUGAUGAUCAAACCACCUUGCGGGAGUAUCGAUGUCUGACCCCCUUUGUUGUCCAUGAUUUUGCAGGAAUCCAUGUAUUGAUUGUCAAAGGAACAGGUCUAAAAAGAAAGAAUUACAUUAUGGACAACCCAGCUAAUCGUGGAUGGGAUGAAAGAGGAUCAGUUGUUUGGAGUGAUGUAUGCUACCCAGAUGAUGUUGCAGAGCUGUUGAAUAACAAAAUUGUGUCUACCGAUGAUGGCGACAGGGCAAAUAUAAUUGACGGCAAUGAUAGCGAAAGCGAUUUUGAUGAAGAUAUCAUUGAUUUGUACGAUGUGUCAUCAUAACAAAUUCAUAAAAGAUACAUUCUCUAUACAUAGUGUGCUGAAGACGUGCUCACACAUGUUUUGUGGGAAAUUAGAAAAUUAUAAGAGAGAGGUUCAUGAGAAAGCUCUUACUACUCAACCAUUUCGAGAAAAAAAUUUAUCUGGAAGAGGCAAUUUUUUUCCCGCGACUCUUUACAUCUCGAAUGAUAGAGAUCUGGUUUUAUCAUUUCCUAUCAGACUAGAAGGACGCUAUAUCUUAUAAAGGCCUCGCUGGGAAGCGUUCCAGGCAAGAAUGUCAAUCAGCAAUGCAAUGCAAUGAAGAAAUUUACUUUGGUUUACGAGCCUAAAGCCUGAUUUACACGAGACGAAUUUUUCGCGCGAAGCGAAUUUUUCGCCACGAAUUUUUCUCCUGCGAAUUCGCUGCGAAUUCGAAGUUUAAUUUCCACUAGCAGAAUUUCUUUUGCGAAUUCGCCGCGAAUAAUGCCAAAUAAAAUGGCGUCUGUUCGAAGAUUGUUGUUAUUGAAAAAAAGCGAGCAAAAAAGCAAAUAAAUGGGUACUUGGUUCGGAAAAUUUAUUCAGAACGUCUGCAGAAGGGGGAGUUUCAUCUUUUGGUAAGUGACUUACGCUUUCAUUGUCAGGAAUAAAUGGUGGAAACAUUCAAAAUACUUAAAUCUGCAGCUUGGUUAUUUCGACAUCACAGUUUCUCGAUUCUUAGUUUGUAUACCCUUGAUUUUUGUUUUUAUGCUCUAAUUAAAUCAUUUGCUUUGAUUUCAGCAAGGAAAUCUUUAUUAUUCAGUCUAUUUACCAACUUUAAUCAAUUUCUUAUAGAGGAGUCGUAUUUGGUAAGACUUACGUUGCUUGUUCAAAGGAAAUGGAAGAGCGAUAUUUUAAUCGUCGUGCGCUAUGCCAUCAAGCCAGAAAUGGAAAAUUUUUACAAUCGGCUCCAUAAAGACGUUCGGCAUUUUGCAAUCUUUUCAAAAACAAAAGAAUGUAUGAUGCAAAUUGCAAGAAAAUUGCACAGACUUGUAAGAGCAAUGCCUCAAAACUUUUAGGAAUCAAAACUUCAAAAUGAUUGACCUUAAGGCAGACGGAAGGCUUACUUUCCUUGCAAAGACACGAACCAAAUGUUCAGGGGCGAAACUACCGGGGGGUGUGGGGGGGUGUAACACCCCCCCAAUCCAAAAAAUAGUCGAUUUCGCAGGGCAAUCGAAGAUUUUGCAGGGCGCCAAGAACGGAACAGGUAUGUAAGGAAAUGCUCCGUUAUGCAUUUUAGAGAACGAAACAGGUAUGUAAGGAAAUGCUCCGUUAUGCAUUUUAGAGAACGGAACAGGUAUGUAAGGAAAAGCUCCGUUAUUUGCAAUGCGAAAGCAUUUCUUACCGUAAGUCAUAGCCAAUGGAUGCAAUGAUUGAUGCAUAUGUUUAUGAGGGCAAGGUUGAGUCCAUGCAAAUUAAUUUAAGUUGUAAAUUAUUUUCAUGACAAGCACGGCGUCACUGGAGGGGAAUAAGAGGCUGAAGGCCCUCACUUUGGUCAAGAUCUGGAGGGGAAUAAGAGGCUGAAGGCCCUCACUUAUAAUUGUUUCUAUUACUUUUUAACAGUGCAGGAACUAAAAAACAUAAUAAAUCGUUAAGAUACCGAUUUUGUUUCAUCUAAUUGCUAACUUUUUCACGUAUAUUUUUAUCAUUUUUCUUUUAUUUGCAUUAAUUCAGUAAAUCACUUUCUGUAUCAUUGCAAUGUUUUAAUUUUGGAUGUGUAAACAUGGCCUUCUCGAUACAAGAAACUGCACAUUUCUGUUCAGGAAAUAAAAUUCCCCCAAUCAAAACAACAUCUUCCUCUGUCAUUCACAACUACGUGCAAUCUAAAACGAAAGGUUGUCGUUCCUUUCCUUCCCCAGCGUCUAAUACUAGAGUUUUAGCAUGACAUCCCC